UUCUACACAGUAGCAACAGUGCAAAUGAGAAGCAUCAACCCAAAGACAAUCCUCCUCGAACAUUUUCAACGACCAAAACAUGACUCCCUGACGAACUACUUCCAUUAUCCGAAGUCAGCAAGUCACUUCAGACUCGGGUGUGGGGGGCAAGUGUUGGGAUAUGAGUCAAUUAUAUAAGUCAUUUUUUACCAACCACAGCACUUCGGCCAAGAUGAGAUUGCUUGGACCAUGACAUAGCUCUAGCCUAAGAAGAAACAGCAAGCCUACAACCCU
rnacentral:lncRNA from 1 species